rnacentral:rRNA from 1 species
UGCCAGCAGCCGCGGUAAUACGAAAGGGGCUAGCGUUGUUCGGAAUUAUUGGGCGUAAAGGGCAUGUAGGCGGCAUGACAAGUCUGGUGUGAAAUAUCUCGGCUCAACCGAGAAAACGCACUGGAAACUGUCAAGCUUGAGUAUCGGAGGGGAAGCUAGAAUUCCUGGUGUAGGGGUGAAAUCUGUAGAUAUCAGGAAGAAUACCGGUGGCGAAGGCGAGCUUCUGGCCAGAUACUGACGCUGAGAUGCGAAAGCGUGGGGAGCGAACAGGAUUAGAUA